CCGUGACUACUGUCACUUCUCCAGUACCACGUGUCACUUUAUUUUUUAUUGGUUGUACAUAACAGUUUAACCUUAGCCUGAUGGUAGGAUUGGAAUACUGAUUGUAUAGUUUUUACGUUCCAUUAAGACAAGGACUCUGGAGCUGCAGGCACACUGCAGUCACAAGUUUAUUCCUUCUCUGUCUGGGUGACAUGUUCGUUUUCACAGUUGGAGUCCUAGUCCCACCCCCUCGGAAGCCACUGAGUGGAUUAGGCAGGAAGGGGAUGUUAGACAGACAGGUGUGGGCCUGUGCUGAGGGAGCCUGCUGGGAGUGUGGAGGUAUGCUGGGGCACCCCUCAUUUCUCACCCAAAGCCACUCAAGCUCAAUCAUGUUUUUAAAUUUCAUACUUCAAAAUAUGUGCAGUAUUUUAAAUUAUUGAUUCUGUUACAAGCCAGGAUCAAAAAUGCCAAUAUCUCAUCUAAAGAAACUGCAUAAUCAUGGAGCAGAGGUCGCCAUGCUCCUUUGAGUAGUUCGUCAGGAAUAUUACUGCCACCCCGUCUUAUUACCUGACACCCCCACAUAGCAGGAUCCAGUUUACCUGGGGGGAUGGAGACAGGUAGUGUUGGCUUUUGGGAAAAUGUUCCAAAAACAUGUGUCUACAUUAAUUUUAAACUGCUAGCUAUAUCAAUGGUAAAUAUCUUAAUGAUAAACAUCAGGCCUCUCUGUCACAGAGAGAGCAGUAGGUGCAGCCAGCUUUGCCCUUGCAGGGCUGUAAGUGGGGCUCCCGGCCACAGCUGCAGCACAGAUUGACGGUUCUGAGGGUGAAGGGAAGCUGGGUCUGUAACCUAGUAUCUCUGACAAGACAGUGUUUACAUGAGCUAAUCCUCUUCAAGACUCAGAGCUGAGACAAAGUCAUUUUUCUUUCAGUUUUUGUUGUCACACCUUUUUUUAUUUUAUUGUAUUAAAACCUAGCCAUAAUGAAGAUAGAAUUUCUGUUUACAUUUUGGGCAUGAUGUGGCUGCAUGCAGAGGCUUCAUGCUUUUGAACCCUGUAUUUGAUUGUGCUGCAUGGGAGGCUUUUAUUCUUGACAGCUUAGUACAGAAGCAGGAGAAGGUUUGAGUUCUUGGGGAUGCAAAGGACGGAUGGCCUAUAUUCUAAAGACAGUGUCAUCGCCCUUCCUGUGUGCUGACCCAGGGCUGUGUGUGUGCUAGGCGAGUGCUGUUGAAAGGUAGACACGCUGGUGGAGAGAAACAAGCUGCUCUCAUCACCACACACUUCUGCAGAGCCUUUGUGCUGCAGCUCCCCGUGAGGCUGUCCUCCAGUUCUCUCCAGCCAGAAUUGCUGUGGCAACAAUAUUUUUAUAAAGCAGUGGGCUUCAUCUUAGGACCAGUCAAUUAAUAAGCGUGGCCGUAGCUGAGAAGAGCCACUUCCAAGAGCGCACCAGACACAGUGAGUGGUGAUCAGCCCCCUUCUGCCUGCCUGUAUGAUUGAGAAUCCCAAAACUCUGUAAUUCAUAAAUGGGGAACAGAGGCACCGAUCCUUCUAUAGCAGAGAGGAAGUGGGCUUUAGGAACAUUUGUGCAAAAGGUUUUUUGGGGGGUUGGGGGAGGUUCGUUGUUCAUUUGUUUGUUUGUUUUUGUUUUGCUUUUUGGAGACAGGG
rnacentral:lncRNA from 1 species